UACGUAGGGUGCAAGCGUUAUCCGGAAUUAUUGGGCGUAAAGAGCUCGUAGGCGGUUUGUCGCGUCUGCUGUGAAAACUGGAGGCUCAACCUCCAGCCUGCAGUGGGUACGGGCAGACUAGAGUGCGGUAGGGGAGAUUGGAAUUCCUGGUGUAGCGGUGGAAUGCGCAGAUAUCAGGAGGAACACCAGUGGCGAAGGCGGUUGCCUGGAGCUUUGCUGACGCUGAGGCGCGAAAGCGUGGGGAGCGAUCCGG
rnacentral:rRNA from 1 species